rnacentral:misc_RNA from 1 species
GCCGAGCUGCUUCUAUUUCUGGAAAUACAUGUCCAAUUCUAUCAACCAAUUUCAUUAAUUCUGUGCACAUUGAACGAUGUGCCUUGAAGGAAUAAAGAUAUGGCACUGUAUCCACUACAUCAGCAACAUCAGUCCCCAUUCAAAGGGAAGAAAGCAGGGUCCACUAAUGUGGAAACAACAACAGUAACAAGAAGCUCCCUUCACUGCUAUUAAGGAAGCAAUCAAACGCGAACUCCUUCCUUCUUUUAACAAAUAGUUAGCGCUUGAACCUCCAAUCUAGCCAAAACCCAAUUCUUA